rnacentral:rRNA from 1 species
AACGAACGCUGGCGGCGUGCCUAACACAUGCAAGUCGUGCGAGAAAGUUCCCUUCGGGGAGCGAGUAAAGCGGCGAAAGGGUUAGUAAUACGUGGGUAACCUGCCUCCGGGAUCGGGAUAACGUGCCGAAAGGCGCGCUAAUACCGGAUACGACCACGACGACUAUAUCCGAGCGGUAAAAGAUGGCCACUGCAUACAAGCUAGCACCUGGAGAUGGGCCCGCGGCCUAUUAGCUAGUUGGUAGGGUAAUGGCCUACCAAGGCUAUGAUGGGUAGCCGGCCUGAGAGGGUGUACGGCCACACUGGAACUGAGACACGGUCCAGACUCCUACGGGAGGCAGCAGUGAGGAAUAUUGCACAAUGGGCGAAAGCCUGAUGCAGCAACGCCGCGUGAGUGAUGAAGGCCUUCGGGUUGUAAAGCUCUGUCUCUUGGGACGAUAAUGACGGUACCAAAGGAGGAAGCCACGGCUAACUACGUGCCAGCCGCCGCCGUAAAAC